CGCAUCAAAGACGGGCAAGGUUCCCCGGCUAAACGCACAUACGGGGAUGAAAUGGGAAUGCGGUGAGGGGGAUCCAAUCAGGACCCCGAUGCCGCAGCCGCCCCCGCGACUGUAAGCGGUGAGCGCGGUGCCACAGGCCACUGGGACCACAUCCCGGGAAGGCGGCACCAAGCCACGACCCGCAAGCCAGGAGACCAGCCCUGCACCGCCAACCGGC
rnacentral:ncRNA from 1 species